rnacentral:lncRNA from 1 species
GAUAGUAAAGUAUCCUCGGACCAGAUUGAUUGUCAUGAUUACAUAGUUACCAUUCAUCACAUACGACAUCGUCGAAUGCAAUUUGACUUUGUUCUUCUUCUUAUCUUGCUUAUAAAGUUGUAAUUACAGUAACGGGUUUUUUCUUGCAGAUGCUCUCGUGCAGUUGCAAUGUGGAGGAAAUGUGGUUUCUACAUCAACCACCAAUGGAUCUGGGAUGUUUUCUAUUUUGUUGGAUCCUCUAAAUUAUAUUCUUUCCUCGGUAUUGAGCGACUGCAACCUGAAGGUCGAUACACCGCUGAUCAGCUGCAACUCGAGUCUCCCUGCUGUCGGUGGCCUCCUAUCACCCUUACGGUUCAUCGGGAACACUGCUCUAGGAGCCCUCCUGAGUGUUGCAAACAUCAUCCCUGCCGGAUUCCGAUUCGUGCCUUUAAAUUAAGGAGACCACUGUAGCUGAAGGCGGCAUUAUUAUUAUUAUUAGUAUGGCCAUUGCUAUGUACUACUUUAUAUGAAUAAGGCCGUUGUAUUAUUUGUGUGUACUGUUUAUUGUUUUUUCUUUCUUCCCAAGGAAUAAAGGUCAUGAUUGGCCACGCAUCAUCUAUAUGUAAUAUUUUAGCGAGUCUAAAUUAUGAGGGGCCUUACUCAAAAAAUGUAGCAAGUAAUUCGAUGCAUAUAAAACUAAAAUUUGUUGCUAAAAACAUUUAGCAACAAAAUUAGCAACAUAGAAAGUAUUACAUGCAGAUUUUUUUGUGUUGAUUUUUCAAUAAUGGAUUAGUCCGUUGCUGAUUUAUCAACAAUGAGUAAUUUAUUGCUCACAAUAGAUUAUUAAUAAAUCAGAAGAAUAUGUUGCUGGUUCGAUCUGUGAAUGAACCAUGGAUUUCCCAUUGAAUUAUUUAUAACCAGCAACGGAAAAUCCGUUGCUGAUGAUAUAGUUUUUAUUAAAUUAAUUUAUAAUUUUUAUCAAAACGACUUUUAAUUUUUUUAUUAAUUAUUUAUGGAUAUUUUAAAAGUUGUAGAAUAUAAAAAAAAACAUUAAUUAAUAUUUAAAAUUACAAUACAAUAAUAAAUGGAAUAAAAAUAAAAUUCAUAAUAUAAUUAAAAAUUUAGUUAAACUUGCACUGAUGCAAAUAAAUCAAAAUACAAUAAAAAGAUAGAAUUAUGGUGCUUGUUGUGGAGAUAAUUCAUGAUACUGUGGAUCAACAUAAGAUGAAUUAUGAUAUGAUGGUCGAGGUGUAGGUCAAUAUUGUAAGAGUCUGAAGUGUACAACUCGAUUAAUGUUAAAAGAUCCCAACAUAUCCUCUUAUUUGAGGGUAAUUUUUUUGUUUUCAUUUCCAAAAAUUCGGCAGAGUUUCAUUUGCAUUUUGGACAUCUCAAGUUAUCGACUACUAUCAAUUUACUCAAUUAACCCAUCAUCACAAGGUCCCAUAAUUCCGGACCUUAUAUCAAACCUCAUAAUUCCACACCUCAUACAAUCCACACAAUAUAUAUAUAUAUAUAUAUAUAUAUAUAUAUAUAUAUAUAAGUUCAAUAUGAACAUAGUCCAACACAUCAUAUCAUAAAAUUUAAAAGAAAAGGAAUACUAACAUGCAAAGAAAGCAUUUACAAUAUAAGAAGUGUUCUUAAAUAUUUCAAAAGAGUUAAUUACAAGAUAACUAAAAUACUACAUGCUCAGCUGAACCUUUGUAAAUACAUCAAGAUUUACACAAACAUAUACUACAUAAACAUGUUAAUUCCCUUUUAUUUUAAGUUAAAUAUUUACAUAAGCUUCACAAAGUAGAGUCCUAAACUAAUGAUCUUCCUGGAUAUUUGAUGGACCUGUUACAUAAAUAAACAUAAUUAUAUUGGUAAAGAAUAUAUAUAUAUAUAUGCGCUCAUGUAAUGAAUACAAAUGAAGUAUUAACUUUCUAUCGGAUCCAUAAGAAUAUUAACAGAGAACUUAUAUUUUGCUUGUAAGUCUUUUAAACCCAAUUAACACUCAUUUAUAUACUCUUAAUUUGAAUACUCUAAUUUACUUGCAUGAACUGCAUCACCUUGCAAAGUUUAAUCUUGUAAUUCAAUUCCCGGCAAUCCUAUCAUGGAUGCCAUUAACCGAAGCUAAUCUUGUAAAUCAUCUCCCGGCAAUCCUAUCACGGAUGCUAUUAGCCGAAGCUAAUCUUGUAUUUACGCUAGAUUUUAUUUACGUUGAACAUGACAUUUAUUGUAAUUGCAUUCACUAGAAGAAUUUUAAAUUGUAUAAGUGCAAAUAGGAGGAAAAUCACGCACCUCCUUUGCUUGUCUCGCGACCUCCCCUAAUAGAAGAUCCAAUCCUGGUUGCUCCUCCUGAAUCAUAAUGAAGUUUUUGGUUAUGAUUCCUUCAAGUCGAUAUUAUAGAGAAUCUAUAUUCAUCCAUUACUCAUAUGUUACUUUCUAUGCAUGUUCAUUUUCUCAUAAUAUCAUACAUACAUAUAUCAUGUACAUUUUAAGAGUUAGUAUCUCAAUGUGCAAGUGUUCGUAUGACACAAUUCUUUUAUAUUCUUAUAUAUAGUAUUCACGUGAAAGUGUACUAUUAUUGUCUAACUUUAAACUGUUACUGUCCAAUUUUGAACUAUUACUGUCCAAACACUCACCAGAUUUUUAACUAUAUCUAAAGUUCUAAAACUUCAUUUUAAGUGACAUUAAUCUCGUUAUAAAGCUAAGACACGAGGCUACAAGUUUUUUGAAGGGAGGAGAACCCAAUUUUGCCUCCAAGAUAGUCAAAAUUGCUCAUAAAAUAGUUAGUCCUACUGCCCUACAUAAUCAGUCACGACUCAAUCUCAGUUGGUAACCCAUAACUGGAGUUCUACAUCUCCAAGUUGAGCAAGACCAGUUUCCUUGGUUAGCUCACAUUCAAAUCUACAAUUUCUACGAGAAACUCGAUCCUAAUCCCCUCAUUCUCCUACCCGAAAUCUCAUCUAAAGUUAGGAGACAAGUCUGUCAUCUUUACUGGUAGGAAAAGGGCAUAUUUAGUUAGUCGAUCCACAAUGACCAAGAUUGCAUCAUUUCCCCUCUUUCCUUUGGGUAGUCUCGACACAAAGUCCGUUGUGAUCAUCUCCCACUUCCACUUAGGGAUUGGUAAUGGUUGUAACAGCCCUGCCGGUUUUUGGUGUUCUACUUUUACUUGUUGGCAAAUACUACAUUUUGCCACGUAACUAGCCACUUCUUUUCUUAUAUUUGGCCACUAGUAGUACUGCUUCACAUCCUUGUAAAUCUUAGUACUACCUGGAUGUACAGUGAACUUAGACUCAUGAGCUUCUCGUAGUAACUUUUGUUUAAGGGCUUUGUUGUCCGGCACAUAUAUACGUCCCCCUAACAUCAUUAUUUCAUCAUCACCCAUUCAAAAAAGAGUUUCACCUCCCGAUUCCAGUUUGAUUCUCACUUUUAACACCUCACCAUCAUGCUGUUGUGCCUUUAAUAUUUGCUCUCGAUAUCCUGACUUCACCCUUAGUUGAGCCAUUAAGGAUCCUUCCGGACUCACAUUUAAUAUUGUCCCCAACCUCUUUAGCUCAAUCAUAGUUUCCUCAUUCCAAGUCAUUGGUCCACCCCUAAUCACCUUGUCUUUACGGCUGAGAGCAUCCGCGACUACAUUCGCUUUUCCUGGAUGGUAAUCUAUAUUACAGUCAUAGUCUUUAAUUAAUUCUACCCAUCUCCGUUGUCGCAUAUUCAACUCCUUCUACGACAUCAGAUAUUUAAGGCUCUUAUGAUCCGUGAAAAUUUAGACCCGGGAUCCGUAUAAGUAAUGCCUCCAUACUCGUAAAGCAAAAACUACUGCUGCCAAUUCUAUGUCAUAAACUGGGUAAUUGACUUCAUGAGUCUUCAGUUGUCUCGAAGCAUAGGCAACUACUUUUCCAUGCUGCAUUAGAACACAACCCAAUCCUUUUCUUGAGGCAUCAUUGUAGACUACAAAGCCUUCUGUUCCGGAUGGAAGGAUUAGCACGGGGGUAGUAGUAAGCCUCCUCUUCAAUUCUUGAAAGCUCUCAUCGCACUCCUUUGACCACUCCCAUCUUAUGUUCUUCUUGGUGAGUCGUGUUAAUGGAGUUGCUAUCGUUGAAAACCCUUCGAUAAAUCUUCUAUAAUACCCUGCCAAUCCGAGAAAACUACAAAUUUCAGUUACCUUAGUAGGCCUUUCCCAUCUCAAAAUUGCUUCCACCUUUUGAGGACCCAUAAAAAUGCCUUUUGAAGACACUACAUGCCCUAAAAAGGUAACUUAUUUUAACCAGAAGUCACAUUUAUCCAACUUGGUAUACAACUAGCGGCUCCUCAGAGUCUGUAGUGUCUGUCUCAGGUGUUGUUCAUGCUUCUCAUAGGAUUUGGAGUAAACCAAGAUGUCAUCGAUGAAUACAACAACAAACUUAUCAAGGUAUGGUUGGAAUACUCGGUUAAUUAAAUCCAUAAAAAGUGCUGGAGCAUUAGUUAAUCCAAAGGGUAGCGCCAAGAACUCAAAGUGUCCGUAGUGAGUUUUGAAGGUAGGUUUUGGCACAUCUUGCCCCUUGAUUUGUAUUUGGUAGUAUCCUAAUCUUAAAUCAAUAUUUGAGAAUACUUUGGCACCCUCAACUGAUCGAACAAAUCAUCUAUCCGCGGAAGUGGAUUUCUGUUCUUUACCCUCACUUUAUUCAGCUGAUAGUAAUCUAUGCAAAGCCUCAACGUUCCAUCUUUCUUCUUCACAAAUAAUACAGGUGCCCCCUAAGGUGAGUUGCUUGGUCGUAUGAACCCUUUGUCUAAAAGCUCCUGUAAUUGAAUUUUCAACUCAUUCAAUUCUUUUGGGGCCAUUCUACACAAUGGUUGGGCUAUAGGAGACACCCCAGACAAUAUAUCUAUGGUGACUUCAACUGCUCUUUCUAGGGGCAGUCCUGGCAAGUUUUCCAGAAAUACAUCCGGAAAUUCCCUCAUAAUUGGAAUGUCAGACAUUCCUAUUUUACCCUUUUUCGAAUUUAUCACAUAGGCAAGGUAUGAUGUACAACCUUUAUUUAGUAGUUUUCUCGCAACCAUACCCGAGAUCAUAUUUGUAAAGUUGGAAAUUUUCUCCUCCUUAAAGACCAUUGUUUCACCCUUAGCCCCUUGGAAGGUUACUGUUUCUGUAAAGCAGUCUAGACGAGCCUUAUUUUUGCCCAACUAAUUUAUACCUAGAAUUAUAUCAAAAUCACUUAAUUUUAGGGGUAUUAAAUAUGCUUUUAGUUCACACCCAUUCAUGUUAAUUCCCACCCAUUCAAAUACAACAUUUGUUUCCACAGUUUCACCCAAAGGUGUCCCAAUAAUAAAUCCUUUCUCUACCCCUUUUAUUUCCUUACUCAAUUUGGUUACAUUUUUAUUUGCUAUAAAAGAGUGAGUGGCACCAGAAUCAAACAAAACAUGUAUUUGAUAGUCAUUCAUUUGCAGCAUACCUGCCACCACAUCUGAUGCUGCUCUGACAUCCUUCUGGGUCAUAUGGAAAACCCUUCCUUGAUCCCUUUCAUUUUGCACUCUGGGUCGUCCCCUAUUUGAGUUAGCUCCUGACUAAGUCGACCUUUCCGGUCUGUUUACUGUGAUAGACUAUUGAUGACUCUGACUUUGCUGCCUAUAUCUCUAAGGCUGUUCAGUGUUUAACUGGGGGCAUUCCCUUUUAAAGUCCCCCUUCUCACCACAAUGAUAACAUCCUCUUCCCAAGUACUGACAGGUUUUCCACUUAUGACCUUCUCCUCGACAUAUAUAGCAUCGUCCAGGAGAAACCAUACAACUCCCGGGGUGUCUUUGUUCACACUGAGCACAUCAAGGGUAGCCAAUUUCAAUACGAUCAUUAUGCCCCUUUGUAGCUAUAGCCCUGGAAUGGGUCUGACCACUUUCUGACCUCCCAUCGAUAUCCUUUCGGAAACUAGUUGACGUCCCCCCUUUCUUUUUGAAUUGAAGGAAUUGUUCGCCUCUACCUUUCUUUGGAAGCGGUGGCCUGCCUAAAAGUUCCAUAUCCUUUCGUUUUCCUACACCCCUAUGACUCUAUUGGCCUUCUUCCAUACAAGCCUCCAAGGCCUGUGCUACUUCAAUCAGUUCCCUUAUUGUCCUGAAUUGCAAAUAAAUCAACCCCUGCUUCAAUUCUUGUCUGAAGUCAUCCCUUAACUUUUCUAUCAUGUGUUGUUCUAAUGGGACAUAAUGUGGUGCGAAUAGUGAGAGGUCAUGAAAUCGUCUCUCAUACUCAAGUAUUGACAUUCCUCCUGUCUCAAGGCUAGGAAUUCUUGUUCCUUCAUCUUCCAAUGAUAUUUGGAGUAAUAUUGAUUCUCAAACUCUAUCUUGAAAUCAUCCUAGGAUAGGGUUUCUAUAGCCCUCCUCAACUGAACUGUCUCUCACCAAGGCAUAGCACUGUCUAAUAGUAAUUGAGUAUCACAAUCUACCCGUAAAUAAUGUGGUAUCUUAAUUUGAAUCAUGGUUUUUUCCACCUUUCUAAUCCACCUUCCCGCCACUUCAGCAUUCUGUUCAUCUAAGUAGGGUUCACAACCCAUUUCUCUCAUACUUUUCACCAAACAAACUACUUGUACCACGCCAUUGGUAGCUAUAGCUGCUUCUAAAACGGUUGGUAUGAUGGGUGUUGUUGCGAUGUCGCGGUCGCACAAAUUAAUUACCCUAGCUUCAAACACAACACACAAGAUAGUAUAGAGCAAGCAAGGGGUCGAUCCCACGAGGAAGGUUCAAGUCAGAUUUUUAUGCUAGAUGAUAUGCAAUUUGGGGGGGGGGUUUGGACGUUAUCUAGGCUAAAGCAAAAGAAAAUAGAAAACUAUCAAACAAAUUUAAUAAAAUCAGAAAAUUAUCAAGAGAACAAACCUUGGUCGCAAGCACACAUCCACCUAUAGAAAUCAGAACUGAUCAUGGAAACGAAACAUCAAUUUAUAUUUGAAUAUUUAUCUCUUCUUAACAUUGGUUAGUUAACGGAUCCGCCGUAUAACUAACCCUAACCAUCAAACAACCACAGUGUCCGCACUAGUAAUUUAAUUCAAUGGCAGCCUUAAGAACUAGAUAAGUUUAUUAAUCAAGAAAACAUAAUUGUCCGCAGUCUAUGUUUGAUUUGAUUGAAUGUUCUCCCUAAGAUUAAUAACGUAGAUCCGCCACAAUUAUUAAACUCAGUUGCUUCACAAGUUCAUAUACCACAACUCCGGUUUUGAUAUCAAACUUAGCAAUAGAUUGUCUACAAUAAAAACUUAGAGUCCGCUCUAGCAAUUAAAAUAAACAAUCAUAGGAAAAAUAAGCAUAGGAGAACAAACAUAUUCAUCAUAUAAACUGAAAAGAAAAGGUAAAAUAAAUCUCACAGUUCUUAAAUCCGAAGGUUUCCGUGUCCUUGCAACCAAGAAAACGAGUUUAGCCUUGCAUGUUUGUUGAAUAACUAAUCAAAAAGAUGGAAGAAUGCAUGAUUUAGGGUUUUUAGAGAGGGGGGGUUUUUCUCCUCUUGGCUUGCCCCCUUCUCUUCUCUCAUUCUUUUUAUAUCUAGAAACCCUAAUCUCUAUUUUACAAAAUAGUCCUCUCUUAAGUAGACAUUUACAUUUAAGUACUUCAAUAAUAUUUUCCUAAAAAGAAGAAAUAGUUUGCAUGAAAUCUUCAAGCUUUGACUUAGAGGAGCUAAAUUGCUGAAAUAAAAACUUGGAUAUCGGUUUAGAUGCUUCGGAACGUAAUUUGGACUCGUUUCUUCACGAAACCUGUUUGCUGGCAGAAUUCAGUUGUCAUCUUUGAAAAAUCAUAUCUCCCUCAUAUGACAUCGUUUUUGGCUGACAUUUGGAGCAUUUAUAGGUCUUUGAGUCAGGAAUCCAACACAAUUUAGUUUUCAUCAAUUGGACUUCUGUAGCUUUAGAUAUUCAAGUCGGAAUGACCAAAGGUCAACACUGGCAGAUUGCGAGAUUUGACUUUGAAAGCUGUGAUUUCCAUGCUCUUCCUUAUUUUAUUGUCUUGAUUAGAUAUCCAGAAAGGUAUGGAUGUUAGCUUUUUAAUUCCACUGGAAUCACUUCAUUUUGACUUUUAGAGCUCAUGCUCUACACAAAACAUCGAUUGAAGGUCAAAUAUGUCAAUUACCUCCAAUUUACUCCUUUUUGCAUCUUUCAUCCAAAAGUGCCUUCAAAACAUAAAACAAAGAAUAUCAAGGCAUUUUAUAUAUAAAACAUAUGCAAAAAACUAGUUAAAUAUGGGUGAAACUAUUGAAUAAUAUGGUUGCAUCAGGUGCAGGUGGGGGUGCUGGCAUAGGAGUGACAACAUUAACCGUACCUUCCAUUACUGCUUUGACUAACUGGGCCAGGAACAUCGGAUCAACAUAAGAAACAGAUGACCUUGUAGGUGUAGUUUAAGGGGGCUCCUCUACUCGUUCCCAUGAGGCUGAAAUGGUCGGUUGAACAUCCCUAGUUUGCCUCGAUGCCUGUCUAAUUUGAGGCCCCGUCGAUUCUUCAUGCCCUGCUUGAGUCGAUACUACCGGUGCAUGUGAAGCAUUAUCUUCCAAAGAGCUCUCUUCUUGCCCCUCAGAAAAGUCUAUAUCUCUAUUCCCCCUCCUUGUAGAGGAUAAAUCUGUUCUAAUCUCUUGACGGGUACGUACCAUCCUGCAAUAAAUUAAUGAACAUCAACAACCUCUUUUGAUUUCUUACCCGAACCUAUACCAGGGCUCUGAUACCAACUGUAACAGUCCAAAGUGUAUGACUUGAUUAAUGUUAAAAGAUCCCAACAUAUCCUCUUUAUUUGAGGGUAAUUUUGUUUUUCAUUUCCAAAAAUUCAGCAGAGUUUCGUUUGCAUUUUGAACAUCCCAAGUUAUCGACUUUUAUCAAUUUACUCAAUCAACCCAUCAUCAGAAGAUCCUAUAAUUCCAGACCUUAUAUCAAACCUCAAAAUUCCACACCUCAUACAAUCCACACAAUAUAUAUAUCCUACGAGCAAGUUCAAUAUGAACAUAGUCCAACACAUCAUAUCAUAAAAUUUAAAAGAAAAGGAAUACUAACAUGCAAAGAAAGUAUUUACAAUAUAAGUGUUCUUAAAAUUUCAAAAGGGUUAAUUACAAGAUAACUAAAAUACUACAUGCUCAGCUGGAACCUUUGUAAAUACAUCAAGGCUUACAUAAAAGUAUACUACAUAAACAUGUUAAUUCCUUUUUGUUUUAAGUUAAAUAUUUACAUAAGCUUCACAAUGUAGAGUCCUAAACUAUUGAUCUUCCUGGAUAUUUGAUGGACCUGUUACAUAAAUAAACAUACCAUUAUGUUGAUAAAGAAUAUAUAUAUGCUCAUGUAAUGAAUACAAAUGAAGUAUUAACUUUCUAUCAGAUCCAUAAGAAUUCUAACAGAGAACUUAUAUUUUGCUUUUAAGUCUUUUAAACCCAAUUAACACUUAUUUGUACACUCUUAAUUUGAAUACUCUAAUUUACUUGCAUGAAAUGGGUGACCUUGCAAAGUUUAAUCUUGUAAUUCAUUUCCUGGCAUUCCUAUCACGGAUGCCAUUAGCCGAAUCUAAUCUUGUAAUUCAUAUCCCGGUAAUCCGAUCACAGAUGUCAUUAGCCGAAGCUAAUCUUGUAAAUCAUCUCCCGACAAUCCUAUCACGGAUGCCAUUAGCCGAAGCUAAUCUUGUAUUUACGCUAGACUUUAUUUACAUUGAACAUGACAUUUAUUGUAAUUGCAUUCACCAGAAGAAUUUUAAAUUGUAUAAGAGCAAAUAGGAGGAAAAUCACGAACCUGCUUUGCUUGUCUCGCAACCUCCCCUAACAGAAGAUCCAAUCCUGGUUGCUCCUCCUGAAUCAUAAGGAAGUUUUUGGUUAUGAUUCCUUCAAGCCGAUAUUAUAGAGAAUCCAUAUUCAUCCAUUACUCUCAUAUGUUACUUUCUAUGCAUGUUCAUUUCCUCAUAAUAUCAUACAUACAUAUAUCUUGUAUAUUUUCAGAGUUAGUCUCUCAAUGUGCAAGUGUUCGUAUGACACAAUUCUUUUAUAUUCUUAUAUAUAGUAUUCACGUGAAAGUCUACUAUUAGUGUCUAAUUUUCAAAUGUUACUGUCCAAUUUUCAAUUCUUACUGUCCAACCGUUACAGUCUAAUUUUGAACUGUUACUGUCUAAUUUUCAACUAUUAUUGUCCAACCGUUACAGUCUAAUUUUGAACUGUUACUGUCCAAACACUCAUUAGAUUUUUAACUAUAUCUAAAGUUCUAAAACUUCAUUUUAAGUGAGAUUAAUCUCGUUAGAAAGCUAAGACACGAGGCUACAAGGUAUCUGAAGGGAGGUGAACCCAGUUUUGCCUCCAAUAUAGUCAAAAUUGCUCAUUAAAUAGUUAGUCGUACUGCCCUACAUAAUAAGUCACGACUCAGUCUCAGUUGGUAACCCAUAACUAGAGUUCUACAUCUCCAAAUUGAGCACGACCAGUUUCCUUGAUUAGCUAACAUUCAAAGCUACAAUCCCCUUGUCCUCCUACUCAAAAUAUCAUCGAAAGUUAGGAGACAAGUCUAUCCAGAUUCGUCUCCCCCCUCCCCUUACACAAUACUUUCAUAAACUACAUACCACACACAUAAAUGAACUUAAUCUCAACAAUAAGUACUUUUUCCCCAAUUUAUGUCUAAGAACCCUAACCUAUGAUUCAAUAUCAAGGCAUCAAUUCUUUAUCGAAUUAAAUAAAAUAAAUUUUUUUAAGAUCAUGUUUAGAAUACCUUACCCGAUACAAAUUACGAUUUUGAUCUUCAACCAGUAGAAGAUUUUCAACUCCCUCCUUUCAUUUCUUCUUGUUCAAUUUCUUGGUAAUCCUUUGCUCUCAAGUGUUUAUUCCAUCUAUAAGCUCUUAAUCUUGCAUGGGUUCUUGAAAUUUUAGUGUUUCUAUUUUGAUUUCUCAAGAAGGGGUAUAAAACUCCCUAUCUUCUCUCCUUAUGGUUCCUAUAGAUUUUUUUGGUGAGGAGAGAGUAUUGAUACUCUAUAUUUUCCUUUAUUUGCAUUUAGGCCCCCCUUUUCCUUUAAGUGUAUUAUUCUCUUCAAUUAAAUCCAACCUCAAUAGUACCAGGUUUAUUAUAAUGUCUCUAAUUAUUUCGUCCGGAAAUUUAUAUUCAAAAAUUUUUGAAUUUCUGUUUUUAUUUAAUCAUAUGCAUGAAUUUCUUCACUUUUACUUAUUUAUUAUAUAUAUAAUUUUUUUAUCCCGGGGUUUACAAAUAUAUUGGUGGAGAUGUGGGAUCCAUAGGUGUCAUUAUCUGGGGAGCCAUAUGUGGCGGCAUUGAUAGGGCCAUAGGUGCUGGCAUACCUUGGCCAAUGUUUGAUGUCUCACCAUGAUAUCCAAGAUUGUUCAUAAGAUAAUCUUUCAAAAAAUCCAUCUGUUGUUUCAUUUCAAAAAUAAAAUCAUCUCUUUUCUUUAUCUCUUUUUGCAAUGCUCGAUAAGAUGAAUUAGGAUAUGGUGACUUCACCGAGUAGGAAUGUGAUGAAGAACUUGUAUUCACUAUAGAUUUUGGCAUACGAGGUGCACCAUAUACCCUACCCUAUUGUAACUCCUCCUGAAGCCACACACCAAGUUGCUCCAUCAAAUGAAGGAUGAUUUUCCCGAUUAGUUCAAUACUUUGAAAUCAUCUCCUUAUCAUUUUCUUAAAAAUAAAUACAUGCAAUAAUAAAUUCAUUUGAAUGUCAAAUAAUAUUUAAGUUAUAUAAAUAAAUAAAUAAAAAUACAUACAAUCACUUUUUUAGACUUGCUGUCUACAAAGAUGCUAGACUGCUUAGUACUCUGAUGCAAAGCUGAAAAGACAUCAUCUCAUGAAGGUUUUUUUCUACCAAGUUGCUCUUGCUAGGAAUUAUGAAAGAACAUGUCCUUCAUGAACUCUCACAAGUCUCUCACCAUUUUAACGAUCUCUUGUAUUGGACUGUGUAAUUCAACACCUUCGAUUCAGACCUGGAUUUCAGGUAGAAAUCUUGAUGCUAUUUUAUGAUGUGAAAAACAAAAUUAGAGUUGUUUUUUUAUAUACCUUUACAGAUUUGUUUUGAAGUGAAAAUGGAACAUAAUUAUUCAGACUACUGAAAUUAUGGAACUAGUAAGGCCUUAAUGGCAUUGAACCAGACAUGGGAGAGAUUUAAAUGCAUGGUCCCUGCAUUCUUAAUUAUGUUUAAAAACAUCCUCGUCCCUUUUUACCUCACUUUUUCUAGUUUUGAUCAAGUUUGUCCAUUUCGUUCUGUUUUGUCUGGAAUGGCCGAGACAUUUCAUACCUAUUCAAAAAAAAGAACAAUUUUCAUCUCAUUUCAAAUCUCGGUCCGUUCCGAAUUUUUUGGCUAAAUUUCAGCCGGAAUGUUUUGCUUUUAUUCCACAUAUUCCAUUUCAGUAUUGAAAAGCUAUUGAAUCAAAUUGAACCUGGUUCAAUUUAAUUAAUUAAACCACCUAAGAAUAAAAAGCUUUUUUUAAUUACUAUUUUCAAUAAAAAUGAUAUUAAUAAUAAUAUUAAAAAUUAUUAUUACUAUUUUCAUUUACAAUGAUAUUAAUUUUUUAAAAUUAGAUUUAUCACUAAUAUAUAUGGUUUAUAUUCAUGUUUUUUUUCAUGUUUAUACUAUGUAGGAAUUUGAGCAAAACAAGGGAUGCUUUAGAUCCCAUUAGUCUUGAUAACGUUUGUUGUAACCCAUUUUUGGGUCCCCAUAAAAAAAUAAUAAAUAAAUAAAUACAAAAUGUGCGCAGUACGGGUCGCAGUAACCCGUAGAUUAAUUCUCUGGUUACUGUACACACAGUAACCUGGUUACUAUGUGCACAGUAACCAGCCCAUGCAAAAAAAAAAAAACAGAAAAGGGCUAAACGGUGCCGUUUUGAACGGCACUAUUCCCCUUUCUUCCCCGCCUAACAUACAGCAGUAAAGAAGGAAAAAAGAUGUAUAUUUAAUGGCGUUGGUCCCUCCAGCCCACCGACCGCCGGUCCCUCUAGCCCACCGACCGAAGACAUUGGCCGACCGCCUACCGCACCGCCGAAGCUGAGGGAGGCACGCCUGGACAGCCACGCCCGACCAGCCGCCGCAUGACCCCACGAUGAAAAAAAAAAAAACACAUGCUCAUGGGCUAUAAAUGGAGGAGAAGAGAAGAGAAGAGAGGAAGAGGAAGGAAGAAAGCAGAAGAAGAAGAAGCAGAGAAGAGAGUCCAACAUCACCACCGCAGGUAGCGUUUCCCGUCGUUUUUCUGUUCUGCAUGCAGAUGAAAGAUUAAUUAGCGAGUUACUGUGCUGUGCACAGUAACUCGCUAAUUAAUUCACGGUUACUGUGCAUGUCAUUUUGAUUAAUAUUUGGUGGUAUUUUUUUUUAUGUUUUUAAAAAUACAAAAAUCUGAUUUUUAAAUACCCGGUUUUCGUCAAAAACUUCCACAAAAUACAAAAAAAUUAAAAAAAAAAAUGUUUUUGUGCAUACGGCCAAGUGUCUCAAAGCUAAAAAAUUAUGUUGUAUUUUUUCAUACACCAAAACAAAAUGUUUUAGCAUGCAUUUUGGCUUUAAUAACCAGUUUAUUAAAGUCAAGAGAAUAUUGGCCAAUAUUUCAAAAACAAGAAAAAUUUUAUUUUGUUUGUCUCUUAGUAUCCGGGGUAUGACUUUACACGUAAUGCAUAUUCCGGAUAUUUAAUUCUUUUUUUUUUUUUUGGACAAUAGAACCUGGGGUAUGACAUUACAUGUAAUGCGUAUUCCGAACAAUAAAAAAAAACCACAACACGACCUUAGAUUUUAUCAGACAUUAAAACAAUGCAGCUUACCUUAGGUAGGGCGUAGUUGGGGUGCUAAUACCUUCCCUUUACGCAACCAGUCUCCGUACCCGAUCUCUAACGACCAGUUAAGGUUCCUAGUAACCAGAAUACUAGGUGGCGACUCCCAGUCCAUAUUUUCACUUGUAGAGACAAGAAUUCCUUGUCUCUCCAUUUUUUCUUAAGGAAUAAAUAUUUCCGAUUUUUUCCAUUGAGGGUGGACGAUCGCCGCGCCGCCGCACACGUGCGACAACUUUGACUUAACUUUAUAUUUAAAAUAUUUGUGUUAAAACAUUUCUUUCAUAAUAUUUUAAUAUUUUGUUUAAGUUGAAUUACUUUAAGUUAAAGAUCUAUUUAAUUUUGAUUAUUUAGAAAUAUUUUAAAAUUUGAAAUUUUAUUUGUUUGACAUUGUGUUUGUAUUGCAUAAUUUAUAAUUAAUUUAUCUUGAAUUUUAAUGAUGUUUGUUGAAUAUAUAUAUAUGAACAAUAUAACUCCAAAACGGCAUGCCGAAACACUCUGAAACUGAAACAUUUCAUUCCAAUUAAAAAAAAAAACCCACCUACUGGAACAAAAUUGAUAACCUUGGUUUUGAUUGUAUUUCCAAUUCAAAUCGUAAUUUAUAUGUAUGAAAAGAACUUUUUUUCCAUCAUUUUUUUUCUUGUGCGUUCCAUUAUUAUUUCUUUUCAAUUUUUAUAAUUUUUAUUGUAUAAUUCAAAUUUUGUUAGUGUUAUGAUGUUGUAGACUUAACGGUAAUAUUUAACAUCGUUAACAUGUAAUGAAGAUAAAAAUCAAACCUGCAAAGAUUAAAAUUAGUGCAAAAACAUGUAGAACAUUUUAAACACAAAACCAAGAAUACGUAACUUAAUUGAACAAUUAAGAGUUGGAAUACCUGAAUUUUAAUCCCUUGUCCUAAAAAAAAAAAAGAAAGUGGAAUUAGGGGUAGCAAUAGAUAACUAGCAGAGUUUUAUAUCAGGGAUGAUAAUUUAAUCUGAACUCGAUAGAUACCAACCUGAUUUGAAUGAAUGAAUGAAUAUUUUUUGUACUUGAUGGAUAAUGGAUAGAGUAUGGAUGUUGUGAAACACGACCUGAAACCUAUCCAAACCUAACGUGGAAUAUAUUUGUAUAUUAUAUAAGUAUAUUUGUAAAAUACUUAGAUUUUUUAAUAGAAUAUGAUACAUACAUAUCUUGGUAUUGACAUAAUACACACUUAUAUAUAAACUAUUUUAUUUUUUAUUGAUUAAUAAAUAAUAGUAGAUAAUAAAUAACUAUUUGAUACCUGAAACCCGAUGGAUAAUGAGUAUGGAUAUCAAGAAAUCCAACCCGCGAGUACGCAUUGUCAUCCCUGCUUUAUACUAUCUAUACCCGAAUCCAAAUCUAAAAUAAUUACUCGAGCCUGAACGGGUAUGGGUUUUUGAUACCCGAACUUGAAUGCUAUAUUUUACAGCUAUUAGUACAUAAUUAGCUUGCCAUACAUGUAAUUUUCUCAAACUUUAAUGUUAUUUAUUUAUUUCAGGGCAGGUUCGGGGAGAUCAAUAUCCAUACUCUACGCGUACCUGACUUUUUGCAUUUGAAUUUUACUCGAAACUCGAUUGAGUCUAAAAAUUUUCUAUUUGAAUCGAUUCGAGUUAGUAUUCAUAGGUAAAACUGUCAUCAUAAGUAUAAUCCAAAUACCAUAAUCUUUGGCAAUGAUAUGCUUUGCUAUUAGUUCUACCAUGACAACUAACAAAACUAUCACACCCAACAAAAAAAGCUAUGAAAUCCUGUUAAAGAAUUAUCUCAACCCAAUAACUUAAGUUGUUAUGUAAGGUUCCAAGAUAUAAUUUAUAUUAUUCUCUAACAUCCCCCCUCAAGUGAAAGUUAUUUGGGCUUGAAACUUGCACAAACUCAUAUUAUCUUGUGCUUAAUUUUAUAGAAUAAAUAGGAAUGGUAAGAUUUAAAUUUAUAAUUACUUGAUCAUCAAGGCUUUGAUAACAUGUCAAAUAAUCAUUUCAACCCAAUUACUUAAAUUGUUAGAUAAAAUUUCUAGAUAAAUCUGAUAUUAUUCUAUAAUAAAUCAAAUAUUAUUUUUGUAAGGGCAUAUUAGUGCCCUCACAGAGAAGCUAAGUAGAGUGGCGAGAACCGGACGACGGAAAGAGUUGGAAGAAAAAAGGCUAGAAGCUAGAUGCUAGAGCAUGGAGCUAUGGACCAAUCUAUGAACUUUUCAGAGGAAGUGGAGACGAACAAUUCUAUCGGAGAACCCCCAAGUUUCAGCUACGCAGAGCAAGUUGUUGUUUGGAGCCCCUUCUACUUUAUAAAUUCUGAAGAGGCAAGAAAAAGAAGACUUUCAUCUUUUUUCGAGAGACAGAAGGCAUGCUAAUGAAACUAGGGGUGGGGGAGUUUGUAGGUGAAGACCACAGAUGAAGCACACACGGGGAAGGAAGAAUUAGAGCUUCGUGACAAACCUAAGAUUUUUGAAUUGUUCUCUUUCUUUUCAUGGUCAUGCAGCAGAUUAUCCUACGUAAACUCACCAUCACCACAAACAAGAAAGAGAAAAGAGAGCUGUUAGUCAGCAAAAUCUGCUGCAACUUGGUCUCCCUUGUUCUAUAAAUGGCUGCUGAUGUCGAGACUCAAAAAUCACUUCAAUUUCAAGAUCAAGAUUGAGUUUAUACACUAAUUCUUGCAUUAAUAUCAGUACUACUGCCAUUGAGACCAUGGCCUUCAAGACAUUUGUCUUUGUUUCUCUCGUGAUUGCUGCAACAUUGGCAGCCCCAGUUGCUGAAGCUCAGCUUGGGCUUAUUGGCGGUCUUCUGGGUUUGAUCCGCAUCCAAGGGACUCUAUUUUGCACUGCCGAUGGCAAUAUUGGUGCUAAUGGCACAGCAACCCCUGUUUUCCCUAGUAUGCCAGCCCUGAUUUCUCCUCUUUUUCUUUUUUCUUUUUUCUUUUGAUCGAUAGUAAGGUAUCCUCGGACCAGAUUGUCAUGAUUACAUAGUUACCAUUCAUCACAUACGACAUCGUGGAAUGCAAUUCAAGAAAUCUUUGGUGUCAAAACCUUGAAAUCUGAGACCCCUUAAUAACGUGUGUGUGUGUCAGAUUAAUAUAUAAGAUCUGAAGAUUUCAAGAGUUGAUCUAGCUUUCGGGGUUGUCGGCCUUAAUAGCAAUCUUGUUAUAUAGAAAAAAAGAAAUAAAAAAGUUAAUGUCUAUUUUCACAAAUCAUAAAGUCUCACAAAUUGAAUGACUAAUCUAAUAAUAAUUACAGUUUGUUCUUCUUCUUAUCUUGCUUAUAAAGUUGUAAUUACAGUAACGAGUUUUUUCCUGCAGAUGCUCUCGUGCAGUUGCAAUGUGGAGGAAAUGUAGUUUCUACAUCAACCACCAAUGGAUCAGGGAUGUUUUCUAUUUUGUUGGAUCCUCUAAAUUAUAUUCUUUCCUCGAUAUUGAGCGACUGCAACCUGAAGGUCGAUACACCGCUGAUCAGCUGCAACUCCAGUCUCCCUGCUGUGGGUGGCCUCCUAUCACCCUUACAGUUCAUCGGGAACACUGCUCGAGGAGCCCUUUUGAGUGUUGCAAACAUUAUCCCUGCCGGAUUCCGAUUCGUGCCUUCAAAUUAAAGAGACCACUGUAGCUGAAGGCGACAUUAUUAUUAUUAUUCUGCCAUUGCUAUGUACUACUUUAUAUGAAUAAGGCUGUUUGUAUUAUUUGUGUGUACUGUGUAUUGUUUUUUCUUGCUUCCCAAGGAAUAAAGGCCAUGAUUGGCCAUGCAUCAUCUAUAUGUAAUAUUUAGCGAGUCUAAAUUAUGAGGGGC